rnacentral:rRNA from 1 species
GAUGAACGCUGGCGGCGUGCCUAAUACAUGCAAGUCGAGCGAACAGAUGAGGAGCUUGCUCCUCUGACGUUAGCGGCGGACGGGUGAGUAACACGUGGAUAACCUACCUAUAAGACUGGGAUAACUUCGGGAAACCGGAGCUAAUACCGGAUAAUAUAUUGAACCGCAUGAUUCAAUAGUGAAAGACGGUUUUGCUGUCACUUAUAGAUGGAUCCGCGCCGCAUUAGCUAGUUGGUAAGGUAACGGCUUACCAAGGCAACGAUGCGUAGCCGACCUGAGAGGGUGAUCGGCCACACUGGAACUGAGACACGGUCCAGACUCCUACGGGAGGCAGCAGUAGGGAAUCUUCCGCAAUGGGCGAAAGCCUGACGGAGCAACGCCGCGUGAGUGAUGAAGGUCUUCGGAUCGUAAAACUCUGUUAUUAGGGAAGAACAAAUGUGUAAGUAACUAUGCACGUCUUGGCGGUACCUAAUCAGAAAGCCACGGCUAACUACGUG